rnacentral:rRNA from 1 species
UACGUAGGCAGCGAGCGUUGUUCGGAGUUACUGGGUGUAAAGGGUGUGUAGGCGGUUUUCUAAGUUUGGUGUGAAAUCUCCCGGCUUAACCGGGAGGGUGCGCCGAAAACUGGGAGACUAGAGUGCGGGAUGGGAGAGUAGAAUUCCUGGUGUAGCGGUGAAAUGCGUAGAUAUCAGGAGGAAUACCGGUGGUGCAGACGGCUCUCUGGACCGCAACUGACGCUGAGACACGAAAGCGUGGGUAGCAAACAGG